GCCACCGCUCUCCAAGGACUCUCGAGCAGCUCCAUCUACAGAUUCACAUGGAGAAGAAUUAAGGGUUCCUGCCAAUCACCAGCACCACUUUGCCAGCCUUGUAAGUGGGCCACCUUGGAAUUGGAGCCUCCAGUUCCUACUGACAUCUGACUGCAACAUCAUGAGAGACCCUGAGUUUGAACCACCCAGCUGAGCUGCUUCUGAGCUAACCCACUGAAACCACAGUUGGCAUCUGUGUGAAGAUGUGAAUGGAGGAGGCAGAGUAGGCAGUGAGUGCCGCAGCCACAGCUUGUGUUCUCUGCAGCCCUGGCACAGAAGAUAGGAACACUCAUGGGGGAUGCGGCCACUGUGAUGUCUUCCCACACAAGAAGUGCCAAGUGCUUUUCUCAUGCUUUUCUGGAUUGUCCCAUGGUGGACGAGUCAGCAGGAGUGAGAUGGAGCAGCACAGUAGAGGGCACCUGCUCUGUUUUGUCCCAGGCCAGGAUAUCGUUGUACAUAUUCUCAGCUAAGUGAGCACCAAUAGAGGAGAGGGAGAGUCUCAUGGAAGUUCCUUCUAAGCCUUUGGCUCUUUUUACCUUCAACAAGGUGUGCCACCUCUUUGAUCCAGCAAGUGGGAAGAACAGUCCCGGCCUCUUUGCACACAAGACCGUGAUACCAAUGCACCAUCACAGGCCCCACAGGGGAGCUGUCCGCUUCCCCACACAGCUGCUAGGGGCUCUUUUGCAUGUUCCCAACCUUUCCUGCCUUUAUCUGAUAUUCGUUCCUUAGAUCCUGGGAUGAGGAGGUGGACCAGCAGAAGGUGGGCUUGUGAAGGCAGCCCGGGGUCCAAAUCCUCCUGGCUCUUCAGCUUAGCGGGAUGUCACCUUCAGCGUCUGAAAGCUGGGUUUGAUGCGUCUGGAAAGGCGUCCCUGACAGGCGUCGUUGCCAGGAGCCCCUAGUGCCACCAGCAGCCAGCAGGGGAGGGCGUCCUCUGCCCGCUCACUUCUGACCCUUCUCUCGUUGCACCCGGAACAUGGUGCAGCUGGGAGCAGCCUGGGCUGCGCGGAAGGCUCAGAUUUGGGGACGGCCCUUGCCAGUGACUGUGAGCUGGGGUGUCUUGGAAACUCCCAGUCUCAGCUUCUCCAUUUAUAAGAUGAGAAUGAUCAUACCAGACUCAGGCAAGGUUGUUUGUGCAUUAGUGAAAUCAGACGUAUUAAAUAAAGUACCACAUUGAUCGUGGAGUUGUUGAAUAACCAAGAA
rnacentral:lncRNA from 1 species